GAAGACAUCUGCAUCUCCACAGCUUUUCAAUCCGCCCGCGACGUGUUUCAUCCAUAAUUAAAGCGUACGAGGUUAAUAAAGAGCCGAGUUUCCUCACUUCCCGUCGGAGGAUUUCUGUCACGCAGCAGGAAGUCACCGUGUUUCUGCUUCCUGUUAACCGACGACGAGACGACACCGAGCGCUCCGACACGGCGGAGUCACAGACAAAAAAACACUGAAAGGAAAGAAAGGACCUUUUCAUUUCCUGGAAACUGGACGAGGUUUCAGACGGAUUCAUCCCGAAGGGAGCGAGGAGCAGGAAACCACAGCGUCUGGAAUCGAUUUGAGGGAAAGGCAAAAUAAAAUGUCUGGAAUUCUUAGGCUUCUUAAAAAGGAGGCAGAAAAACCGCUGAUGAAACGGAACACACGGAAUUCUUAUUUCUACACUAACUCCAAUUUCAACACUCCACUCAACUUUCUUUACAAACACUAGCUAAAUGAAACUAUCUGAGUUUUUUUUUCUGUAAACAAAUCCUUACCUAUCUAAAUUCUAUUUGAUUUUAUUUCUAUUCACUCCGUAGCAUAGACAUGGAUUUUAUGCCGCUCUUGAGAGAAGACUGAAGAUAAACGGUGAAGGAUCAUCUGCUGAAUCGAGGGGGAGGAAAAAGGUUUCUAUCCCUUUUGGUGGAAAAAGAGGAAAUGGAUUCAGUUUCAAAGGAAAAAAGUUCCAUCUGUUGGCUGAAAAGGGAAAAAUCCGACACAAAGCUCCGAUCCGUUAUUCAGGAGAAAGUAAAUCUCCUUGGGCCGCUCUGCUGAAUUUCAAAAUGAUGGGGAAGUGAACGAAGCACAGAUAAACGUCGCUUCAGUCACAACACCUUUCUCGGCUCAGACGUCCCCCAGGAGCGGAGCUCGAUCCUCUGAAUGGAUAAACACAAAAUUAGCAAGAGAAGAGAAAGGAGGAAAACAUGGAGCAGGGAAGUUCCCAGAGAAUUCGGCGGCUCGAUAAAUAAAUAAUGGACUCGUCUCCGAAUAUCAUCACAGAAUAUUUGAGGCAGAAUUUUGACACGCAUCACUUGGCAUGUCUCUCUGCUCUAUAAACACUCUGACCUAUAAAUCACUGCGUUACUGAAAAGCUGAUGGUUUUCCUGACAUUUCUCCCGACUUCCACAUCAUAGGCAUCCUAAUCUGCCGCUUCUGAAGCGUCUCCAGGAAUAUUCCGAGCCACGGCGCCGAUCCCGACGGAGCGCAGCCGAGCCGAAACCGGGUCCGCGGCUGUUAAACAAACGCAGACGAGGCCCGAGACGAAGAAUAAACACCGCGUGGAAAAUAGAAAAUCAGAAGCAGAGCACGGAGGGAGUCAGAGGCCAUUUCACUGCCACCGCUUUCCUCCAGUCUGAGAUGAAGGACAGAAAUCUCAUUUCUUACAGGAAGCUCAGUGAGACAUUUUAUCAACUCAGUUUGGAUUCUUUACGAUGUCGUUUAGCCACGUGGUGAUGUGAUGAAGCAGAGCGACUGCAAUACAACACAGUGUACUCUUUAUCCCUUUAUAGUUACCUUCAGCUAUAAACACUCGUUCCUCACCAUUCUCUCUCUUCAGGACACAGCGUUACCAUAGAAACCGCAAAGAAGCUUAAACUCCUCUGACCUGAGGAUGUCAAGAAAUUUAUAAAACACUGACACUGGAGACUCCUUCCAUAAGUGUUACGAAGAAGAACUGAGUUCACAGCAGAAUUCUGUUCUUCAUGUAUCCUGAGGAAGUUGAGGUCAGAGUGCAGGGGCAGCCAUGAUAUAGUGCCCUCUGGAGCAGGGGUUGGGGGGGUUUGGGGUACUGGUUAAGGGCCUUGAUCAAUUGCCCAACAUUGGAGCUUGGUGGUGCUGGGGCUUUAACCUCAAUCCUCCACUAGAACAUCCCAGAGCUUUAACCACUUGAGCCACCACUGCCCCCAAACUACCACUGCCCCCCGAACUACUACUGCCCCACGAACUACCACUGCCCCCAAACUACUACUGCCCCACGAACUACCACUGCCCCCAAACUACUACUGCCCCACGAACUACCAGUGCCUCACAAACUACCACUUCCUCCGAACUACAACUGCCCCCCGAACUACCACUGCCCCCGAACUACUACUGUCCCACGAACUACCACUGCCCCAUGAACUACCACUGCCCCCCGAACUACCACUGCCCCCGAACAACCCUGCCCCCCGAACUACAACUGCCCCCCGAACUACUACUGCCCCACGAACUACCACUGCCCCCCGAACUACUACUGCCCCAUGAACUACCACUGCCCCACGAACUACCACUGCCCCACGAACUACCACUGCCCCCCGAACUACCACUGCCCCACGAACUACCACUGCCCCCCGAACUACCACUGCCCCACGAACUACCACUGCCCCACAAACCCCCCUAAUAAUAAACAUCUUUUUAAAGAAAACCUCACCAUAGCAGUGAUUUUCAAAUCUGUUCAUGUGACCUACACGUCCCUGUGAAUGAGCUGUCGCUACAGAGAGUUAAUCAACACCUGAAAAAUUCUACACUCUAAUUCUACACGGAUAAUCCAGUUAUAUUUCUCCACUAACCAAUUCACUUCUACACAAAAACUAGCUCUAAUUUACACCAUGCUAGGUCUAAUUCUAAAUUCUAAUAUUAACUCUAAUUUUUUAAAACUCAGUUUCUGUUCCUCUGUAUAUCUACACGACCAUCACACAUUUUAAUUCCCACACUAAUUUUACUUUCUACUGAUAACUCUGAUUUCUAUACUGUACAGUUUCUAUUUCUAACAAAAUGUAAGUGUUAACUCGAACUCUAAUUUCAGUUCUCUCAUUUCUACACUAGUUAACUGAAUUUCUGUACUGCAAGUCUGACUCUAAUUCACAAGAACACCUCAGAGUGGCUAGCUCACUACCUCUAAUUCUUCCACAUCACCUCUUGAAUUUAGUUGGAAAAAGCAGGUCAGUUGUUCAUCACGUGUCCUACUAAAGAUCAACACCUGCUACACGUAUGUUAAAGUUUUUUUUAUUCUGUGACACAAUUUGUUUAUAGAAAUCUGUGAGCCCCACCGUGACCAGGAUCUGACCGUAACCCUGAUGUGUUUAGGGUGAGCGAGUUCUUCAUAGCGCUCUGCUCCCUGCGAGGUCUCCUGUAUGGUUCUAAGCAGCUGUUCUAAAUCAGCACUACAGCAGAGGAACCUAAAUGUUUGUGAUGCAAUUUCAGACAGAGAAAACAUCCCAGCAAAGACCUGUGGAUCCUGUGGAAGGACUCCAGGGUUCAGAAUAGAAAUAAAAAAACAUAAAUGAGAGGAAAAGUGCAACGCUAAGCAGCUUCUGAAGCAUUUCAAAGAGCAUCAGAGGAGACAAUUUGAAGUUCCAGCUCUGAGCUUAGAGCUCCUGAGAGACGACUAAAACAGGAAAUGCUUCAUCUCCAAUCAUCUCCUGGCCUCUGAAACCAGCUCACCGAACACACACUGCUGACUCCGACACUCUCCGUCUCCUUUAAAACAUCCAGUGACAGCCAUCUACCAGCAGGGACGCUCGGAAACAAGCGAGAUCUGCUGAUUAGGUGUAAACGUCUCAAAACGGAGGCUGAAAACGACAACGCCGUGACGCCAAACAGGACCAACGGGGAGUAAACAACCACAAGAUGGAGGAGAGGAAGUAAUAUAGCGUAAGCUAUCAAUCUCCUCCGGUCUCACCCGUGUCAUUAAUUGAAGAAUAACCCUCCCAUCUGGGAGAAACACGCCUGUUUGUGAAAUAUAUCCCGAUAUAUCACGGGAUCCACAGCAGCCGGUUAAUGAGUCACGUUGCCGAGUCAAUUAGGAGCGGCUCGCGGCCUGUGGGAGUCACUGUGGAGGAAAUUACCCAUUGCCUUCACACAUACAUGACAUGAUUGUCUGGAUUAAUACCAAACGACUUAAUGGAGAAAACUCUGACCCGUUAGAGCAGAUGAUGCUGGAAUUAAUGGAACCAGAAAUAAAAUUCCAAAUGAAAAUUCUCUCUGUGGCGAGAAUCGAGACGUGAGCAAAAAGCCAACGAAACACUUUAAUUAACGACCUUAAAAAAAAAAAGACGAGCCGCAAACAAGACGAUGGGAUUCGCAUCCAGUGUCGGAGGAAAUAAACUGGAGUGAAGUGAAAUAUUAAACUUCCACACAUUUCAGCGAAAUGAGUCUAAGAGGGGCAGAGCUUAGCGUAAAAAUACGCAGUGCGGUAAGAUAGUGAUCUUUCCUGGGCUGUAGUCAGAGUUCUGUUUAAUUUCUGCCAGGCUGUGAAAGUGACGAGUUGUGGUAAUGUCACACGAACAAAUAUACCAUUAGAUAAUUAACUUAUUAAACACAUAGUGCGUCGUUUGACUUAGCGCACAAAAAGUCGGCAAAGUGUGCGAUUUGAGUCACAGCUCUCGCUAAUGAGUUAUUUCUUAAUCUGAUUUAGCAUGAGCCGUAUCUCAAAUGACUCUCUUUGUGUACUUUGUGUGCACUUAAACACCCUGAUGAUGCAAUAAAACUUAGACACUUAAUACUGAGUCACAUAGCAACACUGAAAAGGGGGCGGAGCCACCGUAUUUCUGGAAAGGAUGAUUCACUGAGCAAGAACGCUACUAGAUACAUAGUUUUAGCGCACUUAUCACCCUGAUGAUGUAUAAAAUGAUUGAGAACGCCGAUCACUUUUCGUGCUACACGAUCACGUAGUGAUGUAGGGAAGGGGCGGAGCUACCGGAUUUCACCUCACUGUAAACUGCUGAGUGAGACGCUGCUAUAUAACCAAUACAGAAGGUUCAAUUAAAAUUCUCCAGCAGGGGUUUGUGUAUAAUAUACAGCGUACUCUGAGACGCAGCAGAAGUCCCUGCGGAAGCGUCUUCAUGCCGUGACACGACGUGACGUAUCAGAAAGCAGGUCCUGUGCUAAUGCAUGUCACACAUUCCUGUUCAUCAUGACAGCCGUGACCUUUUUAAAUCCCCGGCUCUGAGGACAUAUAGGACCUUAUCAUCCACUCUGUCCCCUAGCUAGCCAUUUUCUCCAGCUAAUCUCACAACACAGCGCUAUUUAUGCCACCGCUGUCUAUUUUGUCGUUACGUAAUGACCUUUCUCUGUGCGCUAGAUGACCCCCAGCCUUCACACACUCUACAUGUGCCACGAUGGAGACUUUUCACCCUGCGUUAACACACUCCGCCUUUUCGCCAGCAGCCGGAGAGGAUAAAAGAGCUCCGAGGCCGGCUCUGACCCGAGUCGACCGGCACUGCUGCUAUUCUUCCCGCAGCAAAAGCAGAAAUUAAGAAGAUAUUAAUUUGACUGAAAUUUGACAAAGAGAAGCGAGAACCAGGGCAAUCCUCUUUCUCAUUCUCACAAAGUGGAGGAAUGAGAUUGUUAAAGCCCCUGCGGGGGAUUACAUUUGUUUUCAGUGUCUCCUUCUUAGAUUCCUCUUGGGAUUUAUGAACCGCGGUAAUCCUGCGGAAACCGAGUUUCACUUUCUUUCCUUCUUCCUCUCUUGGUUUAUGCAUGACAUUUUUAUUCGGUGAGAGAGCGGCAGAAGGGCUUUGCAUCUGGACAAUCUGCUUCGGUAAUAAACGGAGUCACUCGGCUGCAGUUGAAUUUUAAUGCAGGGAAAAUAAAACGGUGGCGUUUCAGGAGCUAAUCACCAUUCUGAUCAAAAGUGGCGCAAAUAUCAAGGCGUCGCUCUGAGCUCUGAGCCGAAACGCUAUCGAUUCGUCAUCUCUGUUUAAUCAAAACUCCGGCUUUACGAUCGAUAACCGCCAGAGGAUCCGAAAUACAUUAAUGCCAUAUCCAAAGUCCGAGAAAAUCCUUCUGGACGUGAGGAGGUGGCUUCGGUGACCCUGAUUUAGAUUUAGAGACUACAAUGCUGCACUAUUUAUAGCCUCAAAACACUAGCGUUGCGAGGUGAAAAAAAAAAAUCAGUCACCCUGGCAACCAGACCAUAACCCUACCAUCAGGUUCCUCGGAACAAACCCUAUAAUCUCUAUCUAAACGCUGGGGGGUGAAGGUUUAGUCCGGGGUCCUGAAUGUGACUAGCAUCUAGCGUCUUAUGCUAACAUUACAAGUUCUGUUUCCACGGCAACCAGACAAUACAUCUGGAUUUUCAACUGCAUAGCUCCAAAAACAAACCUGUAAUCUCUGUAUAAAAGCAUUUUGAGUGUGUGUGUGUGUGUGUUAUGCUAACACCACAGAGCUCCAGGUUAAACGCCUCGUAACAACACUCAUCUGCACAUGAAGAGGAACUAACCUCCAUAAAUGCCGGCUCCCCGUCGUGAUUUAUUCUACUUUAGGCUCAGGGUUAAAGGUCACCGCUCAGAGGGUGGGCUGGAUGAUGCAAACAAACAGCUUUCUGCACUUCCUGUUUUCGUCUCUCAUCGCAGGCGGAAUUAAAAAUGUAAUUUCAAUAUGAAUUAUUUAAACCUCUUUUUCAUUGUUGUGUUUCUGAAGCGCAUCGACUCGUCACCGAACUGUCUGAAGAACUCAAAUAAAUAAACAAUAACAACACAGAGAGAAGAUCUUUAUUCAUUUCAAUCCUUUUCUCAAAU